UCCCACAGACCAUGAAAUAUUUUACUUCGAGACAGUGGAUCAGCCAUGACAUGCCUCCAGAAACUUUUUACAGAUUUUACAAAUGAAACAUAGCUGUUCUAUGGAGUGACUACUGAAGGAGUGGAUGCCGAUUUGCCAUAUCCUUCAUACUGAUAUUAAUUAUUUUAUUACAUGAUUUCUUGUUUGACUAUUAAUCAAGUUAUAGCAAGAGUGAAAUGUGUAACCUUAUGUGUGCUGUAUUUCUUUUCCUCAAGAUUAAUGUCCACAUACUAUGUGUGUGUAUCAAACCGUAAUGAUAAGACACUCGCCAGUGCUAGAAAGCCUUGAAUUUUAGAUAAGUUCUCUGUGUACGUGUGUUAGUAUCUGUCUGUACAGGGAGAAGCUCAGACAGUCCCAGGACAAACAAUCAACUGCCAGUGUCCAGCAUAUCAGAUAUACGUCUUUGGAGAGUUUUAUCUAGGUUUUGGAACCAAUCAGAAUUUUGUUGACUCAUGUAUUGACGCAAUUAGUAUCCUCUGUCAGGGUAUAACUGUGGUUGAUUUUGUAUUGUACUGGGGGCGGCCUGCGAACUCCUUCGAGAGUGUUGAAGCUGACUUCUGCUGAUGAAAUUGCAAACUAUUUUCUUCAAUUAAUGGUGGAGGAUCGGCGGGCAAUAGUUCUUUGUUGACAUCCCUGAUCAAUCAUCAAACCAAGGUAGGAAAGAUUUUAGAUUUAAUAUUAUUGGUUAGGGACUGUCUGUAAGUGGAGGGGGUCGAGAGAAGGAGGAACGAUAGACUCACUCAGACGUGAGGGGGUAGACACCAGCUCCAGGGUGGAGUAGGUAAAUUGGUGUCACAAUAUACCUGUAAAUAAGUAACCUUGUGAGUAUAAGGGGUACAAGUACACAUCGGUAGGUCUUGAUAUAAGAUAUUUAGAGAUGUGUACAGUUACAGAGGGAACAGGUGCACACCUAUAGGUCUUAGAGAGAGACGUAAAAAUUUGUUUCUAGGUGUGCACAGUCCAGGGGGGGACAAAAACGCAUUCUUAACAGGCAUGUGAACCCGUAAAGGGCAGUGCUGGGUCAAGCACCGAGGGACAAGGGACACGUAGGGCCGUAAAUAGGCAGUGCUGGGUCAAGCACAGAGAGCCAAAAAGCACGAGAGGCCAUAAAGGGCAGUGCAUUUACGGCCGGGUAAGCCAAAGUAGGGGUAUGGGAAAUCCCGAGAAGAAUGUAAGACGCUAGACGGGGGUUCUAGUCGUAUCUCGCUCUUCCAACUCUCGAUCACCCACCAUUACAGACAGGGGCGCCCCGAGCUUAGAAAUAGGCCAGGUCAGUGGUUAGGGAACAGAGUAUCCAAAAUUAGUGUUUAAAAAUAAAUAUUGAUAAUUCAUAUGUGCACCUAUAAAAAUAUAGGGAUAUAUGCAAAGGGAAAGUAUUGAUUGAUCUGGGAUGCCUCAGGAACAACCCCAAAAGAGCUAAAAUGUAGUUUUCAUGACCCUGAUUGGAUUGGACCAGUAUAUGGAAAUUCUGGAAUAUACUUUGCAAUUUCAUCACGCAGAAGUCAAGUGCUGUUGGUAAGAUCGCCGCCUCAAUAUGUUUUUGGUUUAUGAUAGAAAUAUGACUGACAAAUUAGGUAACCUGGUCAGCCCUGAUAGAAAUAAUGAAACAAGAGAGCAAAUGCUGUAAACAGUUUGGCUCUGAAGCUCUGACUUUAAAAAAAAUAUAUAUAUUCUCUGAAUUCAUUUAAAGAAUGAUCAGUCUGAGCUUUAAUUCUGAUUGUAAUGUUAAAACAAAAACUUGAUUGGCUUUAAACUUAGAAAGAACCUGAGAAACAAACAUUUAUAAAUGUAUGUGCCGAUUUGUUAAAAAUAAUCCCAGAAGUAACUGAGUGAUGAUUUAAUCUGAUUCUCUGUGCAUAGAAGGUUUAAAUGACAAAGAAUAAUAUCAUAAGACCUGUUCCAGUUCCUAUAUAAUUGUUGAAAGUCCUGACAAGGAAUACUGAACAGAAUUCUGGGUUAGUGAAAAAAAAAACUGUAGGCACACAAAUUGGCAGUGGCAUUUUGGAAAAACUUAGAAGCUUAUGUUUUGUUAAAAAAGAUAAAAUUACUUUGACUACAAUGAAGCCGUUGUUUUAUCUCAUGCUGGCCCCCACCAUGACUCUGGCUUAAGCUUUGAAAGUACCAGAGACAUGUUCUGAGUAAAAAAAAAAAAAAAAAUGUAAUUCCUAUAUUUACUAAUGUUUGGCCAAAAGAGUAAUUUUAUUGUUGGAUCGCAAAAUUGUAGUCACGCAGCAUCAUAAAAAAAGAAAAAAAAGAAGAGAAAAGAAAAUUAUUUUUUGUUUAUGAGAUGAUAAAGUUGUAAACAAGUAACAUAAACGGGGGUUUCAAAGUAACUUUGAAGACAGCAUGCUAGCAAGACCCAAAGUAAUAUACCUGGGUCAGAUAACCUCUGACAGAUUUAAAACCAAUGUUGAAAUUCAGAAGCCAUGGCCAGAAUUAAGUGAAUGGAUAAAUACAAGUUGAUGUAAAAGUAAUGACAAUGACUGCAAAGAACUUUGAGAAACAUUUGAGUUGCGAAAAUAAAGUAAAAAUACAAAUAUAAAGAUGUUUAUUUUUAAAAUGCAUAUAAUUUCUGACAAGUUUUAAACUGGGCUAGAGUAAAAUGAUAGUACGAUGAAAUUAUGUUAAAAAUGAAUGAAAAUGCAUUGUUACGAGUCCUGAAUCCCUCAGAGUUCUCUCUCUCUCUCAUUCAAAGUAAGCUAAAAUGCCGUUAUCUGAGCUUGUGUUUAAGUGAUAAGAUAUUUAUAGUACAGCACAGUGUUUCAGUCAAAUCAUAGGCAGAGAUGCUAAAGGACAUGCUAAAAAGAGUUCAGAUUUAAUGCAUUAAGAGGGCAAUUGGUAGUUAAAUGUUCAACUGCCCAAUGCAUGUAAGAAAUAAGAGAUUAUAAAAAUAAUGAAUAACAAUUUAGGAGCAAUUGUUGAAGAGACAUGAGGGCUUUAAAAUCAUAAUACAGACCCUGAGCUAUAGAUGUAAUAAUUUUGAAUAGUUAAACAGUUGUAUUGCUAUUUGUUCUAUGACCAGUAACUUAUCUGUCUUAUUUUUAGUCUCCACCAUCAUACAGGGCCUGAUGGCUGCAGCUACAGAAGCAACAGGAAAUUACAAUGAAUGGACGGGUGUGAAAAAUAAAUUGACUGAGUAAUCUCAGCAUGAUAGUUUGGAGGUAUACAAUUGAGUUUAGCGAUUAAAUAUUAGUUUGAUUAACCUUUUUCAAUGUUUUAACACUAGUAGGUGCUGUCAAUGGCUCUCAUGGUUCUUGAGUGCACCUUUCCUAAGCUGCAGGAAAUACUGGAUUCUGGAAGAAGACUGUCGAGGAUGUUGCAACGGGAAAGAGUGGUUACCAGUGUGCAUGAGGUGAUUUCUCAAUGACGGGUAAGAUCCUCUUCUGGCCAAUAGGGGACAACCUAAGGCAGGGGGUCACCGCCACUGGGCACCUGCCCUGAAGGGAGGUGUUAUAUGUGAGAUGGUAGUGGAGUUGAGCGGAUGCUUGAUAGGCCUAGAGCAUCAUUAAGAGGGGAACUGUAUGAAGUACAGCGAUCUGCCUCAAAAUGUGAGCUCCUCCAGACCUGAUCACCAGCAACCGCAUUCCUUGACUGAUUGUUGUGACAAGCGUCCACAACUUGAUGCAACUAUGCCAGGGCAUCACACCCUGAGGACAAGGAGCUUAUUUAUAAAAAGUUAAUGGCAAUGGGCUUUCAAGAACCAUCUGAGACCAUGUGAUGACAGCCAUUAUUUUGAGACAAAAAUUUCUUAUGAGGCUAAAAUGAUAUUGAACUAAUAUGUCUAUAUCAUAGUCUUUACUCAUGCAGGUCAUUAGGCAUGACACAAGAUGAUAACAAGAUAUGGUGGUGGCUAAAAAAUAAGACUGCUUCUGCUUAAUCAAGAGAUGGUUUAGAUAACAAAGGUUAAGGGAAUUAAGCAUGUAAGGUAAAAAUAAUUUUAAAGAAAUGUUCCUAGCAUUAUGUAUUUUAAACAGUUUAAACUGAGAUUUUAGAUCUAGAAACUUUGACAUUUUUAACUUAUUUGAAUAAUUUAGGGUUAUAUGUUGUAAUGAAUUUUAUAUUAUAGUCUAAGUUAAAGUUUGGCAAAAAUUGUCAAAAUAAAUAAAUAAAUAAUAUUUUGCACAGUAAGAGAGAGAGAGAGAGAGAGUGCUUGAGUGGAGGCAGGGAUAGUGCUCUUCUUCUAUUAUUGGCCUGCUAAGAAAGAGUAACCAAAACAGAGCAAUAAUUUUAAGACCAAAACAACCCAGCUGAUUUUUCUCAAAAUAAAAAUCAUUAAUGAACAGGCAAACUUUGAGAUUAGAUAAGAGAUUAGGUACAAACUUGGUAAAAUGCACAGACAAUGUUUGAGUUUAAAUCCUUCCGAUUUAAUACCAAAAGGAAAACCUUAAAUAUGAGCUGUUAAAAUAUAAAUGUGUUAAGUAUGUGCAUGCAUGAGGAUGGCUAUAUAUAUAUUAUUGGGGGACAAUUCUGUUCCUGUUUUGUUUCAAUUGAGUCACUAACCUCUGGAAUGAGUGUUUUAUCAUUACAGAUGUGUUAAGUGAAAUUACUUUACAGAAGUCGAUAAUUCUGAGUGAAACUAAUGAAAAGACAAUGCCAAACAUGGGACGAGCUUUAAGUGGAUUGGUUAUCCAGCUCUGUCUGCUACUGGUUAUAAUGACUUGUUUUGUCUUUUAUAAUACUGAUUUAAAUCACUCUCUGGAUUAAUAUGUUAAAGAGUGUUUAUAUGAUUGGAUUUGUGAAAUUUAAGUUUGCCGUCCAAAAUGGGUUUAAAAUCCAUGCCUAAAUUUAAAUGAGGGUCUAAAUUUGAACAAGUUAACACUUUGUUGUUUGAAUGGUGAAGGUAAAUAUUUUAGACUUGACGGCAGAAAAACAGUGACAGAUUGGCUACGUCACUAACCAAAUUAUCCAGAGAGCACCCUCACAUGAAGCCUGGUGGUAAAACAAAGGAGUGAAUCCUGCUUGUGUAAUAUAGUGCAAAAGCUUUAUGUAGUGGUUUAUGUAGAACAGAGAUAAGUUGAACAAAAACGUGUGGAUAGCCCCUUAAUGGAGCAAAUCCAUAACAAGAGGUUUGAAUUAAUUGAAAUAGCACAGCAAAAAAAUAAUAAUAAUAAAUUUUGUUUGAACAAAACAAUUGUAAUAGGCUCUAUUGAGCUGCUUAUGAACACCUGUCAGGUCAAAUCAAAUUAAUAUUGUGAACACUGACAGGGCUUUUUGAUAAUGUAUACUGUUUCAAUACAAAUUUCCAGAAACUGAGGAUGUCUCUUUAAUAAAUAUUUGGCUGUUUAGAACUAAGUAAUAGUAUUGUUCAUUUAGUAAUAGUAUUGGGAAAUCUGUCUGCUCUUUUUUAGUUUAUAAUAAUUUUGAGUAAAUAAAUAUCACUGCCAAAUGACAAACAUGAACGAGGGUUUUAAAGACAUUGAUCACGUAGCUGAUCUGUAAGCAUUUCUAACUGACAAAACAGUGAGAACUAAAUUGACUUAAUACGAGGUAUUGAGGAUUUGCUUCUGAAUGUGUCAUUAAUAUAGUCUGAGUACAGUAAUAUGGUAUGAUAAUUGACAAGACUUACAUUUAAAAAAAAAAAAAAAAAAAAAAAAAAAAAAAAAGGGUAAUAAUAAGGCAAUGAGUAUGGUUAACAGUAAUGUCCUGGUAUAAAAUACAUGCAUGACAAUAAGUGAUUAGGUUAGUUGUAUUUUUGAAGUUAGACACUUCGAUACUUAAAAUGUAAUUUUGAUCAAAUGUUGUUAACAAUGACAAGUUUGGGUUAAUGGUUAAUGUAUGUGUAAGCAGCAUGUGAACUAUGAUGACUGCAAAUGGAUUCGUGGUGAAAGUAAAACUUAAUAAAAGGGCUAUUAAGUAAUAAACUAGGAACUGCUCUAGGUUUUCGAGGGAAUAAUGAUUACGAUUAUGAUUAUUUUUAUUUUUAUUUUUUUAAGAUGGCUCAAUAUUGAUCUUACUUAUUUUUGGUUUGUUUACUUUUGUGUUUUUAACACCAAGUUUGGAAUGAAAGGGUAAAAUGGAUAAUCAAUCUCUAUAAUUGUACCAUUGAUCGGGAAAAUUAUAGAUUUUCAUAAAAUAAGGGUAUCUUUACUGGGAUUUAGGUUAUAAGCAAUGUCUAUAUUUGAAAUCUGUGAGGUGACUGAGGGUCUGACAUAUGUCAGGAAUGCAAUAACAGUGGUAAUUCAUUUAGCCCGGCUUCCAGAGAAUAAUAUAUAUAUAUAUAUAUAUAUAUACACCUUUAUAGUAAUGAGUUUAUUUUAAGAUAUGACCAAAUUAACUAAAAUUCAUCAUAGUUGUAUAAAACAUGCUAAAAGAAAACAAAUAAGGCAAAUAUCCUUCUUAAGGGUUAAAAAAAAAAAAAUGAAUUGGUUAUAGUGUAUGCGGUUUUCUUUAAUGAUUUGUUAAAUCUGGUUAAUGAAUAUGCAAAUUUAGUCUUAAGGCUGUUGGAUAAAUGUUUUGUUUUAGAGGGUAAGUGUGAAGUAGCUGUAGUAGGAAGAGAGGUAUUUACAAAGAGAUGUUGAUGAAAGUAUACAUGGAUGGAGGACACUUUUCCAGGUAGAGGGACACACAGAAUAAUUCACUGGAAAAGACAUUAUGUGAAGAAAGACUAGUGCAAGUGGCGAUAUUGUGGGAUUAAGUAAGUAGAUGAAUGUAUUAGGGAAGUAAGAAUGAUUAUGGGAAGUAUUUUGUACAAAAUAAUGUGUUUAUUACUAGAAAUGUCAGCCAGUACCAGAGAUCUUAAGUAUAUGCACAUGUUUAAGUUGACCAACAGCCUGCAUUCUUAGCAUGCAUCACAACUACACCUGACCUCAUUUAUUAGACCAGAUGUGGGGUAUUAGACCCCACAUUGAUCUAAAACGGGGGACUGAAGGAGUGGAUGCCGAUUUGCCAUAUCCUUCAUACUGAUAUUAAUUAUUUUAUUACAUGAUUUCUUGUUUGACUAUUAAUCAAGUUAUAGCAAGAGUGAAAUGUGUAACCUUAUGUGUGCUGUAUUUCUUUUCCUCAAGAUUAAUGUCCACAUACUAUGUGUGUGUAUCAAACCGUAAUGAUAAGACACUCGCCAGUGCUAGAAAGCCUUGAAUUUUAGAUAAGUUCUCUGUGUACGUGUGUUAGUAUCUGUCUGUACAGGGAGAAGCUCAGACAGUCCCAGGACAAACAAUCAACUGCCAGUGUCCAGCAUAUCAGAUAUACGUCUUUGGAGAGUUUUAUCUAGGUUUUGGAACCAAUCAGAAUUUUGUUGACUCAUGUAUUGACGCAAUUAGUAUCCUCUGUCAGGGUAUAACUGUGGUUGAUUUUGUAUUGUACUGGGGGCGGCCUGCGAACUCCUUCGAGAGUGUUGAAGCUGACUUCUGCUGAUGAAAUUGCAAACUAUUUUCUUCAAGUAAAAUUAUUAUUAUUAAUUGAACUCA